rnacentral:rRNA from 1 species
UACGUAGGUGGCAAGCGUUAUCCGGAAUUAUUGGGCGUAAAGAGCGCGCAGGUGGUUAAUUAAGUCUGAUGUGAAAGCCCACGGCUUAACCGUGGAGGGUCAUUGGAAACUGGUUGACUCGAGUGUAGAAGAGGGAAGUGGAAUUCCAUGUGUAGCGGUGAAAUGCGUAGAGAUAUGGAGGAACACCAGUGGCGAAGGCGGCUUCCUGGUCUGCAACUGACACUGAGGCGCGAAAGCGUGGGGAGCAAACAGG